rnacentral:rRNA from 1 species
AUUGAACGCUGGCGGCAUGCUUUACACAUGCAAGUCGAACGGUAACAGGCCGCAAGGUGCUGACGAGUGGCGAACGGGUGAGUAAUGCAUCGGAACGUGCCCAGUCGUGGGGGAUAACUACUCGAAAGAGUAGCUAAUACCGCAUACGAUCUAUGGAUGAAAGCGGGGGACCGUAAGGCCUCGCGCGAUUGGAGCGGCCGAUGUCAGAUUAGGUAGUUGGUGGGGUAAAGGCCCACCAAGCCAACGAUCUGUAGCUGGUCUGAGAGGACGACCAGCCACACUGGGACUGAGACACGGCCCAGACUCCUACGGGAGGCAGCAGUGGGGAAUUUUGGACAAUGGGCGCAAGCCUGAUCCAGCAAUGCCGCGUGCAGGAAGAAGGCCUUCGGGUUGUAAACUGCUUUUGUACGGAACGAAACGGCUCUGGUUAAUACCCGGGGCUAAUGGCGGUACCGUAAGAAUAAGCACCGGCUAACUACGUG